UACGUAGGGAGCAAGCGUUGUUCGGAUUUACUGGGCGUAAAGGGUGCGUAGGCGGGUCUUUAAGUCAGAGGUGAAAUCCUGGAGCUCAACUCCAGAACUGCCUUUGAUACUGAAGAUCUUGAGUUCGGGAGAGGUGAGUGGAACUGCGAGUGUAGAGGUGAAAUUCGUAGAUAUUCGCAAGAACACCAGUGGCGAAGGCGGCUCACUGGCCCGGUACUGACGCUGAGGUGCGAAAGCGUGGGGAGCAAACAGG
rnacentral:rRNA from 1 species